rnacentral:rRNA from 1 species
AACGAACGCUGGCGGCGCGCCUAAUACAUGCAAGUCGAGCGAGAAGACGUAGCAAUACGUUUGUAAAGCGGCGAACGGGUGAGGAAUACAUGGGUAACCUACCCUCGAGUGGGGAAUAACUAGCCGAAAGGUUAGCUAAUACCGCGUACGCUUCUUGGACUUCGGUUCAGGGAGGAAAGCGAUACCGUGGGUAUCGCGCUCUUGGAUGGGCUCAUGUCCUAUCAGCUUGUUGGGAGGUAACGGCUCACCAAGGCUUCGACGGGUAGCUGGUCUGAGAGGACGAUCAGCCACACUGGCACUGCGACACGGGCCAGACUCCUACGGGAGGCAGCAGUAAGGAAUAUUGCGCAAUGGGCGAAAAGCCUGACGCAGCGACGCCGCGUGGGGGAUGAAGGUCUUCGGAUUGUAAACCCC